GACGCUGUGCCGCAGUGGUUACCGGGCGGCCCUGCUAAGAUUGGUGCUAAACCUAAUCCGGACAGGCCGUGGGAUCUUCCUUCGCGCGUUCGAAUCGCGUCGGCGUCG